ACCCCCUGGCAAUGGGCAAGGAGACACCUGUUGGUGGUGUUGCUCUUAUACCCACCAGGGGCAAAGCAGAUGUACAGUCGUUAGUUCAUCCCAGCUUGAUGCCUGUGUCGGUGGCCAGGCAUGUUUCAUGCCCAAGGCACAUAA
rfam:Myotis lucifugus cont2.34316, whole genome shotgun sequence.